rnacentral:lncRNA from 12 species
UAAAGCACCAGUAACAUGGCAGGCUGAGCUGUAUGUUCCGUGGUUGUACUGGAGACAUGAGAUUAUUAAUUUGCUACUGGCCUGAGCAGUACUGCCUUGAACUUAGUCUACUCUGUCAGUCUGAAGAUUUAGAAAGGACAACCCUUGAACUCUGGUUGCAUAUGGCUUUUUAACAUCUCCAAAACUGUCCCUCUUUUCUGAGACUUGUUCCACCCUAGGUAAGACUUGA